rnacentral:lncRNA from 1 species
AUCUGAUGCAAAAUUUGCUCGAUCGGUAUAAAAUCCGACGAAAAGCAUGACUUUUGGCCAAGGCGGGUGCUAAAUGUCUAUGUAACCACCACUGACGGUUAUUUGGUACAUAAUGAAUGAUUUUUGGUCUACAGAACUGAAUGUUUACGCCAGACGGCCGUUUAGAUAACACUAAGGAAAGACUGUGGUGCUCUUUAACAAUUUCUGCGCAAAUGGUGCUUUACUGAAACUGCUCCAAAGGUUCUACCGUGACCACCAUUGAACUCUCGUGACCUUUGGACAGCCAUCAGAGUCGAUAUCGGAUAUGUUAAAGACCAAAUGUAUCGUUCUUGCUGAGCGUUUCUUUGCGUUUUGUACCCCGGGGUGUGGCUUAUCAUUAAAUGAUCCAUUUUAGUUGAAUUUGUGGAUGAUUGGUGUUAUUGUAGACGCUACAACUUCAGUCUUCUCGUAAUUGUAUGCUGUGAAAGGCUUCAUUGGAUCAUGCCCAAAACUGCAUGUCGCUG